rnacentral:rRNA from 1 species
AGAACGAACGCUGGCGGCAUGCUUAAUACAUGCAAGUCGAACGAACUCUUCGGAGUUAGUGGCGCACGGGUGCGUAACGCGUGGGAAUCUGCCCCUUGGUUCGGAAUAACAGUUGGAAACGACUGCUAAUACCGGAUGAUGACGAAAGUCCAAAGAUUUAUCGCCAAGGGAUGAGCCCGCGUAGGAUUAGCUAGUUGGUGAGGUAAAGGCUCACCAAGGCGACGAUCCUUAGCUGGUCUGAGAGGAUGAUCAGCCACACUGGGACUGAGACACGGCCCAGACUCCUACGGGAGCAGCAGUAGGAAUAUUGGACAAUGGCGAAAGCCUGAUCCAGCAAUGCCGCGUGAGUGAUGAAGGUCCGUUAAGGGUUAGUAAAGUCUUACUUUUAACCCGGAGAU